rnacentral:rRNA from 1 species
GACGGGGGGGGCAAGUGUUCUUCGGAAUCAUUGGGCGUAAAGCGCACGUAGGCGGUUCGUUAUGUCGGAUGUGAAAGCCCUUGGCUUAACCGAGGAAGUGCAUCCGAAACUGGCGAGCUAGAGUACUAAAGAGGAUCGCGGAAUUCCCGGUGUAGAGGUGAAAUUCGUAGAUAUCGGGAGGAACACCGGUGGCGAAGGCGGCGAUCUGGGUAGAUACUGACGCUGAGGUGCGAAAGCGUGGGGAGCAAACAGG